GUGAACGCUGGCGGUAGGCCUAACACAUGCAAGUCGAACGGCAGCACAGUAAGAGCUUGCUCUUACGGGUGGCGAGUGGCGGACGGGUGAGGAAUACAUCGGAAUCUACUUUUUCGUGGGGGAUAACGUAGGGAAACUUACGCUAAUACCGCAUACGACCUACGGGUGAAAGCAGGGGAUCUUCGGACCUUGCGCGAUUGAAUGAGCCGAUGUCGGAUUAGCUAGUUGGCGGGGUAAAGGCCCACCAAGGCGACGAUCCGUAGCUGGUCUGAGAGGAUGAUCAGCCACACUGGAACUGAGACACGGUCCAGACUCCUACGGGAGGCAGCAGUGGGGAAUAUUGGACAAUGGGCGCAAGCCUGAUCCAGCCAUACCGCAUGGGUGAAGAAGGCCUUCGGGUUGUAAAGCCCUUUUGUUGGGAAAGAAAAGCAGCAGGUUAAUACCCCGCUGUUCUGACGGUACCCAAAGAAUAAGCACCGGCUAACUUCGUG
rnacentral:rRNA from 1 species